rnacentral:rRNA from 1 species
CCUACGGGUGGCAGCAGUGGGGGAUAUUGCACAAUGGGGGGAACCCUGAUGCAGCGACGCCGCGUGGGUGAAGGAGCGUUUCGGCGCGUAAAGCCCUAUCGGCAGGGAAGAAGGAGGACGGUACCUGACUAAGAAGCCCCGGCUAACUACGUGCCAGCAGCCGCGGUAAUACGUAGGGGGCAAGCGUUAUCCGGAUUUACUGGGUGUAAAGGGGGCGCAGACGGCAGCGCAAGCCAGGAGUGAAAGCCCGGGGCCCAACCCCGGGACUGCAUUUGGAACUGUGUGGCUGGAGUGUCGGAGAGGCAGGCGGAAUUCCUAGUGUAGCGGUGAAAUGCGUAGAUAUUAGGAGGAACACCAGUGGCGAAGGCGGCCUGCUGGACGAUGACUGACGUUGAGGCUCGAAAGCGUGGGGAGCAAACAGGAUUAGAUACCCUUGUAGUC